CACGUAGGGGGCAAGCGUUGUCCGGAUUCAUUGGGCGUAAAGAGCUCGUAGGCGGUUCGAUAAGUCGGGUGUGAAACCUCCAGGCUCAACCUGGAGACGCCACCCGAUACUGUCGUGACUAGAGUCCAGUAGGGGAGCGUGGAAGUCCUGGUGUAGCGGUGAAAUGCGCAGAUAUCAGGAGGAACACCAGCGGCGAAGGCGGCGCUCUGGGCUGGAACUGACGCUGAGGAGCGAAAGCGUGGGGAGCGAACAGG
rnacentral:rRNA from 1 species